UACGGAGGGUGCAAGCGUUAUCCGGAUUCACUGGGUUUAAAGGGUGCGUAGGUGGGCAGGUAAGUCAGUGGUGAAAUCUCCGGGCUUAACCCGGAAACUGCCAUUGAUACUAUCUGUCUUGAAUACCCUGGAGGUGAGCGGAAUAUGUCAUGUAGCGGUGAAAUGCUUAGAUAUGACAUAGAACACCCAUUGCGAAGGCAGCUCACUACGGGAAUAUUGACACUGAGGCACGAAAGCGUGGGGAGCGAACAGG
rnacentral:rRNA from 1 species